GAGGUUGGGGCCCUGUAGCUCCUUCAUGCAUGUGUUCAUUUCUGGCUUAAAAGGUGUCUAUCCUCUUGCAGGAAGUGGGAGAAGCUGAGAAGGUGAAGCCGCUAAUGAUGUAACUUGCAGAUCCCUGCUGGAUCAACUCAUUUCUCUGUGCAGAAGAUCAGCCACUGUUCAAGGAAUAUAGAGCCCCACUCAGGGCCAAGGAGAGGCUCCAGAAAAAUCACAAACACAAGAAUGUGUGUGAGGUACUGGAUAAAGCUGAGCAUGCUGUCCCAGGCAUGGGGCCUUCUCACGGGUUCUCUGAAGCCACCCCCUCCUUUAUGCCUUGAGGCUGCUUGCUGAUGCCAGGAGUAAAAGAAAUGACUCCUG
ensembl:lincRNA Gm13431 predicted gene 13431